UUCUUGACAACUCGGAACUUGAGCACAUGGACGUGUCAUCACCCUUUCAAUAUAAUGCCCGGAGACCAAUGGUGCGUUCUUGACAACUCGGAACUUCAACCUAGCUCGGAAUUCGGGAAUCUCCAACCUCCGAAUUCAGUGCGUUCAAAACAAUUGGGAGCUAAUAAAAAACGAUUUCUGACUGGAAAAAUGAGUUUUGAACGGUCAUCCAACUUGGAAUUACUAGUCGUAAACUCGGGCGUCAUGCCGCUUUCAAAACAACUGGGAACUCUGGAUAAAAUUAGCUCGGACUGGGAAAAAUAAUUUUGAAUGGUCAUCUAACUCGGAAUUCCAAGUCGGAACUCUUUCUACGUCGUGAUUUGACCUCGUUUUUUUCCCGAGUUCCCAGUUGUCUUGAAAGCGCCAUCGUCAUAGAACUCCGACUUCUCUGACAUGAAGGUCACUGGACGUCCCGAUCCUAAGAUCCCCCUCCCCAUUCUGAGCUCGUUUUUUCCGAAUCCCCAAUUCGCUUGAAUGCACCAAACGUUUAUAUAGAGCAAAAGACUGGCCAGCCACAUGCUUGCUCAUUCGAUUAGUCUUGUGAUCGACCUGAAGACGCUUUUCUCAAUGUCGAAGUUAUGGCUUAGAAAUGCUUCAUUGGUGUUUAACGUUAGUUAUUGGUACACUGCUGCCACUUGAGUCUUGCAAUGCUCCUGAACUGGUCAUUAACUCCAAGUAGCUAGUUUGGUAGUUGUGGAGGGUUUGGGCCUUGCAGAACCAUGCACGUGGGGAACUGGAGAAACGUAAAACCAUUCCGGGGAUUCGGGAGCCCACUCCUGGACCUGGCCAGGGCGGUAUGAACUGGAGCAUUGCACAUGGCUGGAGUGAUACCGCCCCAAUGAGUUGAUGACUAGAAGACUCAAGGUGUUAAACCACCCCAAUAAUGGGUUGAUGGCAAGUAGACUUCUCCUGGUAAGGUGGUGUCCCUUUGAAUAACAUACCUGAAAGUUCUCCCUGGACUGGACCUGUGGACAUUGCCCCUUGCUGAUUCUCAGCUCCCAUCGAUACUUCAGAUUCUCUUCCAAGAUGGCCGGCGCUUCCUUUCUUCCUCUGGAAGUGAUCAACUGGAAGAAAGGAGUUGUGUGGUAGCCCAUAUGGGACUCACCUGGGACAUGGAUGCCUGAAGACCCAAGGCUCAACAUUGUUAAUAAAUAUCACCUGAGCAGCAGUGUGCAGUGGUUUCCUUUGUCUUUUCCAUGUGUGUUCUGCUUUGUUUAUUUGAGGUUUUGCUGACUAAUGGUGUUUGUCUGUGACUAUAGAAAAGACAGUCAUUCUUUUUAACUUCAAUAAAUCGGUUUUAACCAUG